CCCGCGCGCGCGCACACACACACACACACACACACACACACACACUCACACACACACGUCGCCGUCCUGAAGGGAGCUGUCCGGGCUGAGCAGGAGCAGCUGCGCCGGGCGUGGUGAGGGGGGUAGUUGGUCCCCCGAGGCUGCGCCCGGGCUGCGCUCCACGUGCCCAGAGGGGGCGCUGGGCCGUUCGGCGCCCGAGCGCACAGCUCCGGGUUUGCGCCCUGGUGGCGGCGAGGCGGUGCGUCCCGGGCGGGCGUCGCUUCCCGCGCCAUCUCUGGCGACUCGCACUGCCUCCGCUGACGCCCAGCCACUUUCCCACUUCCCAAACUUCGGCCUUUUGGUUUCCACCUCCCUCGAGCUCUGAGACCCUCUCCCGGGCAGGGUGGGAACUUUUCAUUUCCCGGCGGCGGCCACCGUGUCUCUCCCCGGAAUCUGGCGAAUUGGAGAGAUUGACAACUCCCCCCCCCCAUCUUGUUAGCCACCUUAGAGGCGGUUAACGAGAGUUUAUGGGGAAUAUUGUUGAACUUCAGUAAUCAGGUUUCCAGCGAUCUUAUGCCUCCUGUUUAAUUUAUUAGACUAGUUAUUUAUUCUGUUGAUGAUAAUCUGUUGCUGGUUUCUAUGGAGAUGUUAAACUGAUCUCUUUCAGAAAUCAAACUCCAUAUGCACUAAAACGUUUAAAGGGACAGUGCCUCCCUCCUUUUUUCCCCUGCCUUUUUUUUUUGGAUUUGUUUUUUAGACUUUGCACCUUGCAGACACUUUGCGUCUUCCUCUGAGUCUCGGUGCAUUUUAUUUCCUUCCUACGAAGGAGAGGAGCCCGGAGACUCAGGCUUUGUGGCAAGUACAGCUUAUUAUGGCUAGAAGAAAGCCAAGGCUUUGAUCCCUAAGUUGCAUCAUCAUUUAAAACAGAUCAUUUCACCACCACCCCCUUUCCCCCAUCAUAUAAGAGCAAAAUUCUUUCAAGAUCAAAGAGUCCAAUCUAAAAAAAAAAAAAUACUAUUGUUAAAAAAAUAGGAAGUCAGUCAAAUGGGAACCUCUCCUGUAUAUCUGCUCCCCUUGUGUUUAAAGAAUUUUUUGAACAAGAAAAACAAAACUUGUAGCUCAGCUAAUUUUUCAUACUUAUUAAUAGUUUAUCUUGCCCCCCCUCUUUUAAAUUUAAAAAGAAGUUCAAAGUUAGAUUUUUCUGCCUGUGGGGGUUGAGGUAUAUUUGCUUCUCUUUUAGAUCCUGACCAUCUGUUUUUGGAAAAUUAGCCUCUGGGAAGGGGAAAAGGAGUUUUUACUCAAACUUAACAGAGUGCUUUAAGUUUAAAAAAAAGAAAAAGAAAAAACCCUCACCCAAAUAUUUUAAAGUCUUCAUUUCUCUACUUUUUUAGGAGAAUAUCAGUAACCUCUGUCUGGUGUGUGAGAGCAUAUCAACAUUUUCUCCUUUUUCCUCUUCUCAGCCCAGUGACAUAAGAACAUGAGUUAGAACAAGAAAAUACUUUAACCAAGAAGUCAACAGCUUAUUUUCCCCCAUUUCUUUUAAGAGCUAAAGUGUCAGCUUUCAGACAUAUGAGGCUGUCAUUCUUGUAGCCGAGAGCAGCGCAGUCCAUGCCUGGGUUGGAAAUCCAUUGGAAGGUUGUACAGCAGGGGAAGUGUUGGCAUGGGGGGGAGUAACCUGAAGGAAUUUGCUUUUGUGGUGGUGGGGAGGCACUCCAAAAUGACUAUUUCUCCUGGUUUUAGGAGAAUGUAAUUAAAUUGUUUACAGGAAAGAAUUAAUGAGUUGGUGGUAAUAUGCUCCCCCCCCCACCCCAGUCUGGUUAAUUGGAAAGACAAAGUUUUUCUUGACGAUUCACCUUGAACUUCAGCUUUCUCCAGCCUUUGUCUCAAGUGCUUUUUCCUGGAAAAGAACCUUUUGGAAUCCCUUCUGGUUCGUAUUUCCAAAAUUAUAGCUGGGGGUGGGGGUGUGUGUGGGGGUGUUUUUGUUUUCACCCUGAGACCUCCCACUCGAAGCUGCUUUCUGUUUCUCAGGAAUCCACAGCUAUGAUAAUAGACUAUGACUUGGAUUUUUAAACUUUUUGGGGGAUUCGGGGGGCAGCUUUUGAGGACAUAAAGUGAUAGAAACAGCACGUUUAUGUAUUUCCCUUCCGUACCUAGUGACAGUAUUGGGGAGAGUGGAAGCAGUGUUUUUUUUGUUUUGUUUUUUUUUAAUCACCAUUUAGGUUCCACCCUUUUUGAAGGGACCUUCUGCUAAUAAGCAGCCUUAUGAUGUCAGCCGGUAACUUUAGAAAUACACUGGGUGUCCAUAUACUAACUGAUGUUCUCCAGCAGCCCCUGAAACAGACAUACAUUAAUUAGGCACAUGUAUACGCUGUCACCCCUCUUUUUGAAAGCUCCCGUAUAGCCAAGGUUUUGUGCGUAUCCUUAAGAAAGGGGAAGGAGAUAAAGAGAAAAGCAUUUACAUUAUAUUUAUACUUGGACACGAUUACAAAGGCUAUUUCCCCCAUCUGAAUUAAGUUAAAAAAGGCGGUGAGUCAACUGAAUGGCUCUUUAGGCUUUUGGCAUUAAAAAUAAAAAUAUAAAGCAGAAGAGAGAUUUAUUUGGUAUCUGGUUUCUAAAGAGGAGAAGAGAAGGCCAGGCAAGUCUGAUGCUGAGACUCCAGCGGAGUUGUAAUUGAGCCCGUAACCUCUUGAUGUCUAUAUCAGAAAAACAGACACGAGCAGAGGGAACGGAGGAGAGGCAAACAAGCCUUGUAGAGGAGGGAGCUCAGGGGGAGAUUCACAGAGAGAGAGAGAAUGAGAUUUAAUUUAUAGACAUUUUAAAAACCGUAAUUUCAUUAGGAUCUGUUCUUCCCCUUCUCUGAAGGGCAGCCCGGCAGACCGAUAAGGCCGGUCCCUCUGCCGGGAUGCGCGGGUGGCUCUGUGGGCAUGAACGUGGGCAUCUUUCUCCGUUCCCGGGAUCGCUUGUUUCCCCUCUGCCCCCUUUCUGCUGACGUCCUUAUUCUGGAAUUUAAAAGUCCCAAAUGGCCAAAAGUUAGCCAAGGCUUCUGGCUGCCUGGUGAGCUCCCCUGUGGGUACCACGCCGCCCCGCGAGCAGGUCUGUCUCCAGCUGGCCCUUGGCAUCCGUGCGUCUUCCUCCUGUCGCCAGGCUGCCUGUCGUUCUGGCUAUGGGAGACCCCUGUGGGGGGGGGGGACCGCAUCUCUGCCCCCUUAAGUUCACCAAGUUAAGUUGCUGUGGUUCUGAGCCCACAGUCGGGGGGGCGGGGGGUUAAAGGCUGUCAUAAAUUCUGCAAAAAUUAAUCAACCGUUUAAGAGCUGCACGUUAACGAGGGUGUGCAGGCAAGCCGGGCCUUUCUCCUGUUCCCCUGCCUAAAGUCCAGCAGAGCGAGGGGUGCCCUGGAUGGUGGGAAGGAAUGGGGGAGGUGUUUUUGUUUUUGUUUUUUUCCAAUCUGAAUAAUGGGGAACAACUAGAGAGAGGAAAGAAGAGAGAGAUUUGUUGAAUAUAAACCCUGAAGUGCCCUUGUUCCAUAUUGUGGGAAUUUUUUUUUUUUUUCCUUUUGGUCUGAAUUUGUCCUGUGUGUCUUUGGUGGAAAAGACACGUAGAGAAAGAGCAAAGGAGGGGGUGGGGGGAGAGAGAGAGAGAGAGGGAAGGAUGGAGGAGAGAGAGAGAGACACGUGUGGCUCCUUCGGAACUCAUUAUCAUUCUUAAUAAGUCUUAAGGAAUAAAGGAGAGCAUUGAGUGUAAAUGCUGGGUAAUCCUAACACUUCUCAAGGUGAGAGGAGUCUUGAGGACACAGAGAAAAGAGAGAGCAGGGGAGGGGGUGGGAGGGGGGUCUAACGGCCCUAGGGGAAUGGCAGGCCCAGGGUUUGGGGGGUUCUGCAGGAGGCCUGGAGGCUGGGGUGGCAGAGACCCAGGGGAGCCCAGAUGAGAUGGCUGUCUGAGGUGACGCUGGGGCUCUCCAGGAGAGGGUGAUUGGCUGGGACGAGGAGCAGGGCUGAUGGGAACAUCUCUUCGGGGUUGGGGUGGGGGGCAGGGGCCGCAGGGCCUUUGCUCCCUCCUGGGCACUGUCUCCCUGGCCAGCUCAGCCCCUGUCCCCUGGCCUCAGGUUCCUGGAGGAGGCCCUGGGGUCUUGUCCUGCUCGGUCCAGCUCCCUUGCACUGUCCGCUCUGGGAAGCAGAGGGACAGAGCAGCGGCCAGAGCUCGGCUCCGGACACUAGGUGGCUUAGAGGAUCUGCGAGGUUUUCCAAGAUGAGCCACCGAGCAGCCGCCGGCUUCCUCUCUCCUCCCCGCUGGUGGGCUCCGCUGUGCCUGUCGUCUGCCGGGUCUGCGGGCAGCCUUGGACGACCGGCAGGAGGACGAGUGGGCUCCGGCCCAGGGACGUGGCUCAGCUCCCGGGCUCAGGGCUCCCAGUGACCAGCUUCCAGGCAAGGCGAGGAGAAGGCCAGGGGGCAGGUCCCGUGGGGGGAGGCAGCCGGUCAGGGCCACUUAGAGGAGGGCCGGUUGGAGCCCAGCCCUGCGUUCCCUGCCACUUGAGUGUCAGGCACUGCUGAGCCCACUUGGGAAGGGGGGGCAGCGAUCUCUGCCUCUUCCUCUUUUGAGUUCAUGUGCCCCCUUUGAGAAUCCUCUUAAUAAAAAAAACCUCAUAAGCAUAAAUACCGCUUAUACUUUGAGGGGUUUCACAGACCUUAUAAACCCAACCAAGGACGCUCCAGGGUCCCUUGCUCUGAUGAGCUUCCUUCCAGUUCUCCAGGACUGGAGCGGGAGGGGGGCAGGGAAGAGGCCAAAGCGGUUCCCGCCGCCACCCCCACCCCUGCCAGCCUCAGUCCUGGGAGAGCAGAGCCAUGUCAAACUGUGACAUGGGGCCUCCGCAGGCGGAUCGGGGCCAACACUCGGGUUCCCAUCCGAAGAACCACACCUGCUCAGGUAGAUGCCCUUCUCCGGCCAAAGGCAGCCUCCCCCUCCUCCGGCUGGCAUUGUCCAGGCUUCCUGGGGUGUUUGAGGAAGGGUCCUAGCCAAGGGUCAGAACCGUGAAUUGUUUUCUCUAGGGACAGGGGUGGGCAGGGAGACACAAUUCGGGUUUGACUUACUGUAGUCAGGUUUUCUGGGUUUUUUUUUUUUUUUUUUUUUUUCCUCCUUACCUCUGUUUCUUUUGGAAAGCAACUUCUGGGGAGCAUGCAAAAGGGGGUGCGUGGGAGUUCGAGAUGAAGGCUGGUGACUGAGCCGGUGUGAAGCCCUGAGGGAGAGCAGGACGGGUUAAUGGCGGGUGGAUUCUGCUUUUCUGAUGUUUAAAA